UACGUAGGGUGCGAGCGUUAAUCGGAAUUACUGGGCGUAAAGCGUGCGCAGGCGGCUUUGCAAGACAGAUGUGAAAUCCCCGGGCUCAACCUGGGAACUGCAUUUGUGACUGCAAGGCUAGAGUACGGCAGAGGGGGAUGGAAUUCCGCGUGUAGCAGUGAAAUGCAUAGAUAUGCGGAGGAACACCAAUGGCGAAGGCAAUCCCCUGGGCCUGUACUGACGCUCAUGCACGAAAGCGUGGGGAGCAAACAGG
rnacentral:rRNA from 1 species